rnacentral:rRNA from 1 species
CUUGCUUAAUAUUAGAGGUCCAGCCUGCCCAGUGAAAAUUUAACGGCCGCGGUACCCUGACCGCGCGAAGGUAGCAUAAUCACUCGUUCUUUAAAUAGGGACUUGUAUCAACGGCAUCACGAGGGUCGCACUGUCUCCUCCUUCCAAUCAGUGAACCUGAUCUCUCCGUGAAGAAGCGGGGAUAAAAAUAUAAGACGAGAAGACCCCAUGGAGCUUUAAACCUAAAGCAAUCUAAUCAAAUAAACCCCCAUAAAAAUUUAAAUAUGUGCACGGUUUUAGGUUGGGGUGACCGCGGAGUAAAAAUAAACCUCCACAACGAAAAAUAAAUUUUAUUCAAGAGCUACUACUCUAAAAAUUAGUACACUAACGAACAAUGACCCGAUAAUCGAUCAAUGAACCA